UAGCGGCGAGCGAACGGGGACCAGGCCAGUGCCAUUAUCGAAUUUACCGGAACCAUCUGGAAAGGUGGGCCAUAGUGGGUGAUAGCCCCGUAUCCGAAACCUGAGUCUGGUGAAAUCGAGUAGGACGGGACACGUGAUAUCCUGUCUGAACAUGGGGGGACCAUCCUCCAAGGCUAAAUACUCCUAACUGACCGAUAGUGAACCAGUACC
rnacentral:rRNA from 11 species